GUUGUUCAGCACAAAUACAACAUUCUCACUCUCUACUCCACCAACAGGGCGGAGAGGAAGAGAGCCAGUGUGAAGCAGCAGAGUCUCAGCAGAAACCUCUUCAUCCUGGAAAGAACGGACCAAUCAGGACAGCCAUAUUUCAGUCCCGCCCCUCAGGUCCAGGAAGCCCUUGUUGCCAGCCAGAUAAUCUUGUCAAGCAAACUGACUCCUGCGCUCACAGAAUAUGAGCUAUCGCAACAUCAGGCUGGUUCCACCAGGCUACCUUCCAGGACCAGAGCCAGUGAAAGGUGGUGAGGGGGAGGCGUCUCAGAUCCAGGCAUUGGUGGACCCUGCCUAGUGUUCGUCCUCCAGAACCCUCCUGGUCCUGACUUUUGUGUCCAGAGAGGAACCAGACCCAAUCAGAACCACUAGUCCCAGUACUGCUAGAUUAAAGACCAGGAACCCCAGUGUGGAUAUUGCACAGAGGCUCUGCCUGUCCCUGCUACCCAACCUCUGUCUGUCUGUCUGUCUGUCUGUCUGUCUGUCUGUCUGUCUGUCUGUCUGUCUGUCUGUCUGUCUGUCUGUCUGUCUGUCUGUCUGUCUGUCUGCCUGCCUGCCUGCCUGCCUGCCUGCCUGCCUGCCUGCCUGCCUGCCGGAGUGCUCUGGUCUCAGACUGUAGCUAGCUGUCUAAGGAGCCUGUCUGCUGGGGUGCUCUGGUCUCAGGCUGUAGCUAGCUGUCAGAGGAUCCUGUCUGCUGGGGUGCUCUGGUCUCAGACUGUAGCUAGCUGUCAGAGGAUCCUGUCUGCUGGGGUGCUCUGGUCUCAGGCUGUAGCUAGCUGUCAGAGGAUCCUGUCUGCUGGGGUGCUCUGGUCUCAGGCUGUAGCUAGCUGUCAGAGGAUCCUGUCUGCUGGGGUGCUGUGGUCUCAGGCUGUAGCUAGCUGUCAGAGGAUCCUGUCUGCUGGGGUGCUGUGGUCUCAGGCUGUUGCUAGCUGUCAGAGGAUCCUGUCUGCUGGGGUGCUGUGGUCACAGGAUCCUGUCUGCUGGGGUGCUGUGGUCUCAGGCUGUAGCUAGCUGUCAGAGGAUCCUGUCUGCUGGGGUGCUGUGGUCUCAGGCUUUAGCUAGCUGUCAGAGGAUCCUGUCUGCUGGGGUGCUGUGGUCUCAGGCUGUAGCUAGCUGUCCAAGGAUCCUGUCUGCUGG
rnacentral:lncRNA from 1 species